GACGAACGCUGGCGGCGUGCUUAACACAUGCAAGUCGAACGGUGAAGCGCCUUCCUUUUUGGUGGGUGUGGAUGAGUGGCGCACGGGUGAGUAACACGUGAGUAACCUGCCCCCUUCUUCUGGAUAACCGCAUGAAAGUGUGGCUAAUACGGGAUAUUCUGGGUCUGUCGCAUGAUGGGUCUGGGAAAGAUAUUGUUUCGGUGGGGGAUGGGCUCGCGGCCUAUCAGCUUGUUGGUGGGGUGAUGGCCUACCAAGGCGGUGACGGGUAGCCGGCCUGAGAGGGUGGACGGUCACACUGGGACUGAGACACGGCCCAGACUCCUACGGGAGGCAGCAGUGGGGAAUAUUGCACAAUGGGGGCAAGCCUGAUGCAGCGACGCCGCGUGAGGGAUGGAGGCCUGCGGGUUGUGAACCUCUUUCGCCAGUGAAGCAGGCCUGCCUCGUUUGUGGGUGGGUUGACGGUAGCUGGAUAAGAAGCGCCGGCUAACUACGUG
rnacentral:rRNA from 1 species